AUAUGUAUUUGCUGCGGGAGGGCUUUUGUCCGCCCUGUUAUUUUUACGGGAGGGCUUCUGUCCGCCCAGUCAUUUUUACGGUAGGGCUUUUGUCCGCCCUGUCAUUUUCACAGGAGGGCUUUUGUCCGCCUUGUCAAUUUUGGACGGGAGGGCUUUUGUCCUACACUCGAUUUAGCAAUUUCCAUACGCAAUACAAAAUCAUACCUUUUACAACCGCUGAUAUCUUAAAUCGAAGCAUUACAUAAUAAUAAAUUGCAAAAAUUAGUCAAAUGUCGACAAAAUAUUUUGUUUGGCACUACAUGACAUGUGCUGACAUCACUUGACUUCACUGCUCCGGGCGGAAUAUAAAGUAUUUAUGUAUUCCUUAAUACUGGUCGGAGACCAUCAACCGGACACUUUUGGAACAUUUUUCCGUACAGAUUUCAUAAUUUUUAACCUAGAGACCAAAAAAUUUGACACAGUUCAGCUAGGUUCUUCUCCUAACUAACAAACUAAUUUGUUUAUUUCUGAUUGUAUCGACACUUGUAUCUGAGGCUCGUAAAGGAGGGUAUCAAAAUUACCUAAAUUGUCUACACUACAGUACCAUGUGUCCGGACAGAUAUGUACAUGAUGUGAUUUAAUUCAGAUAAAAGCUUGGGUGUUUUGAUUUUUAGCUCGACUUUUUUUUUGUUUUGAAAAAAAAAGGAGAGGUAUUGCUAUAGUCGCGGCGGCGUUGCCGUCCGCAAACUUGUACCUGGAUCAUAACUUUUUUAUUUCUUGGUGUAUUGUCUUCAUACUUGGCCACAACAACCCUUGGGACAAGACCUUUCAGUAGACCACACUAACCUUGACCUUCAUCCAUAAAUGACCUUGACCUUCAAGGUUAAAAGUCCAAAUUUUGCUUGUUCAUGCUGUUAUUGGCUGUAACUUUGUUAUUUUUGAAUGGAUUGUCUUCAAACUUGAACAUAAUAAUCUUCAAGGAUAUCCCUUAAAAAUAACCAGACAGACCUUGACCUUCACUCAUAAAUGACCUUGACUUUGAAGGUCAAAUUAUUGAAAUUUUCAUUUUUAGCUCGACUAUUCGAAGAAUAUGAGAGCUAUUGUAGUCGCCCCGGCGUCGGCGUCGGCGUCAGCGUCUGCGUCGGCGUCUGCGUUGGUUAAAGUUUUUUGUAAAGUCAAAUAUCUCAAUUAUUACUUGAGAUAUUCAAUUGAAACUUACAAUACUUAUUUAUAGUAACAAGGUACAUCAGAUUGACAAGUUGGAUAACUCUGCCUACAAUAUUGACAGAAUUAUGCCCCUUUUUAACAUAGAAAUUUUGGUUAAAGUUUUUUGUAAAGUCAAAUAUCUCAAUUAUUGCUUGAGAUAUUUAAUUGAAACUUACAAUACUUAUUUAUAGUAACAAGGUACAUCAGAUUGACAAGUUGGAUAACUCUGCCUACAAUAUUGACAGAAUUAUGCCCCUUUUUAACAUAGAAAUUUUGGUUAAAGUUUUUUGUAAAGUCAAAUAUCUCAAUUAUUGCUUGAGAUAUUCAAUUGAAACUUACAAUACUUAUUUAUAGUAACAAGGUACAUCAGAUUGACAAGUUGGAUAACACUGCCUACAAUAUUGACAGAAUUAUGCCCCUUUGGAACUUAGAAAUUUUGGUUAAAGUUUUUUGUAAAGUCAAAUAUCUCAAUUAUUGCUUGAGAUAUUCAUUUGAAAUUUAAAAUACUUUUUUAUAGUAACAAUGUACAUCAGUUUGCAAAAUUGCAUAACUCUCCCAGCAAUAUUUGCAGAAUUAUUUGCACCUUUGUAACUUAGAAAUUUUGGUUAAAGGUUAAAGGUCUUCAAAGAUAUUUCCUUGAAACUUUACACAUGCACUUAGGGUAAUAAUUGGAGGGUCAUAAUUGUAUGUCACUGACCAAGUUCCAUAACUCUAUCUUGCAUUAAGGCUGAUUCAUAUCCCCUUUUCUACGGUCUCUAAUGGUUAAUGUUUACAUGCAAGUUUUACAUAUAUCAAUAACUAUUAAAGAUAUUUAUUUAAAACUUCACAUAUGCAUUUAGGGUCAUAAUUGUAGGUCACUGACAAAGAUCCAUAAUUCUAUCUUGCAUUUAGGCUGAUUUUUCUCCCCUUUAUCAACUUAGAAAUUCAUGGUAAAGUUUUGCUUGUAAGCUGUUAUCUCAAUAACUACUGAAGGGUUUGUGCCUUUUUUGGGACAAUUUUAUGCAUUCAUAAUAAUAAAGCAGUGAUUUACUUGAUAAAACAUCUUAAUAACAAGCCUUUGUAACUUUUCUGUCAAAUUUAUGUAUUCAUAGGUAAUUAGUAUUAUUAUACUCAAUAAAACACCCUUGUGAAAUUACAUUCCGAAUAGUCAAGCCAAUACUGUAUAAUUAGACUCUCUCUAAGGCGUAUAACAUGAAUUUAUAAAAAAAAUAUUAGCCCUUUUGUGAACUUAAAAAAUUUAACAUUAUCAAGGCUCUUUUACUAUCAAGCACUUAGAAUAGUCGAGCGUGCUGUCCUACUGACAGCUCUUGUU